rnacentral:rRNA from 1 species
AUUGGCAGCCAUAUCACUAUGCAGCCCAAGACUGUUUGCCCACUGAAGCUAAGCAGGGUUGAGCCUGGUCAGUACCUGGAUGGGAGACCUCCUGGGAAAACUAGGUUGCUGCUGGAA